AUUGAACGCUGGCGGCAGGCCUAACACAUGCAAGUCGAACGAGUGGCGGACGGGUGAGUAAUGUCUGGGAAACUGCCCGAUGGAGGGGGAUAACUACUGGAAACGGUAGCUAAUACCGCAUACCAUCGGAUGUGCCCAGAUGGGAUUAGCUAGUAGGUGGGGUACCGGCUCACCUAGGCGACGAUCCCUAGCUUGUCUGAGAGGAUGACCAGGCACACUGGAACGAAGACACGGUCCAGAGGCCUACGGGAGGCAGCAGUGGGGAAUAUUGCACAAUGGGAGCAAGCCUGAUGCAGCCAUGCAGCGUGUAUGAAGAAGGCCUUCGGGUUGUAAAGUACUUUCAGCGAGGAGGAGUUACUCGCAGAAGAAGCACCGGCUAACUCCGUGCCAGCAGCCGCGGUAAUAC
rnacentral:rRNA from 1 species